UUUUGCUGGUUCAGUGUAUUGCCUGCUGAUUUACUAGUGAUCAAAUUUCAGAAAGAGAAAAAACACAAAAAGACUCCCUUUUGUGAGAGGUGAGAUACUGCUUAUGGCAUUUUUCUUCUCCAUCAAGUGGACAGUUCUCUCAAAAAGGAAGCAAGGGUCUUACUAAAGUACUAAAUUGCCAAGGCUGAGU